UCUUCGACGAUUGGUUAGGUAUAUGACAAGUCAAGAGUAUACAUGCUUUAAAUAUUCGAUUCCACGGAUGGAAUAUAAAAAAAAAAUAAUAAUUACAAAUAUUGCACGGAUUUCCGUUUUAUUAUACAAGGUGUACCACGGCCAAUUCCGACAUUUGCAUAAUUACGGCAAGAAAUUUGGGAAUGUAUCAGUGAAAUGUAACGUUCAAAAGCAGAUGAUUAAUGACGGAAGGGGAACAUAUUGAAACGCACUGAUUCCAAGAGUUUCGUAUUGAAAUCAAAUUUUAAUGGAACGAUUAUCCAACCGAUAAUUGGAAAUUAAUAAAAAUCAUAUGUAAAUAAGUUCUUUAGACAGUCAGUUAUAUGGCGAUUGAAAAGUAAUGAAAUAUACUUUGAAGAAUACGUAAAGUAAAAUAAUGAAAUCGUUCUUACGUGGUGCCACCGUAAGACCUAAUGUCUCUUAAACAUUUUGUUGGUUUGACAUUCUCCUAAAUAAACAACGACCGUCCGGCUUUGCCCUCUUAACCCGCUUAAAAUCUAUAACUUGAUAGCUUCAAUUCAAUUCUUCAAAGUAAAAAAUCAGAUGUAUGCGAACAUGGUUGCAUAUGAAAUCCACCUAGGAUACGAAGAUAUGUUACGGUACCUGCAUGAAAUACAUGUAGCGUGUUUACUCCAUCAAUUCUCCUGGUCGCGACUUUUGUCCGAUUUUGAUGAAGCUUUUGAUCGAUCUCAUUCGAAAGAUAAAGAUUUUUCACAUGAGACCAUUAUUUUCGAUUUUCCAAACGAGAUUUUACUUGGUUGAAAAUUGCUUAUGAAAAUUAUCUAUCUUUGGACAUGAUUUUUCCCCAAGGAAAUAAUGCUUUUCAAAAAUCUCACGAGGUGUUCAAGUAAGAUAAUAAUUUAAAGAUAAAAAUUUUUCUUUUAUAUUUUGGAUAAGUCCUUCAUCAGCAAAAUCAGACAAAAAUUGUUACCAUGAGAAUUCAUAGCGUAAACCUUUCCAAACGAAUAGAAAGAGAACACUUUUAAAAGAUCACCAGUGCUCUGGUUUCACCCAAUAGCGCACAAAGUUUGACCGAAUUAUCUCUCAUUUAUGUAUUUACAUAUAAUAGAUAAUGUUAAUUAAAGAAUACAUACUAUUUGACAAUUUCUCGGCGCUCCAAUUGGAGCAUUGACAAAAGUGAGGACGAAUAAAAAAAAAGAAAGCUGAAUGAAAUGAAGGAUUGAGUGAAGGAAUAAAUCUUAGAGGUCUAACGAAGAGAAUGAAUUAAUUGGUUUUGUCACAUUUUGUAAAAAGUCUGCCUAUAGUAUGACUAAGGGAUAUGAUAGACAUAUAGUAUGAAUAAGGGAGAUGAUAAGACGAAAUUAGACUCUCUGAUGCCGUCGCAAGGUCAAAUAAUUGUGAUUACGUAUAACGAGUAAAGUUCUGUUUGUUCAGAGAGAAUGACAUCAUCAGUUACGUGACAUUUUCGACCAUUCGUCGGCGAUAUAGCCUAAAUCUAUAUGUAUGCGUGCGUGCGCGUGUGUAUAGUUAGCGUGUACAUAUUGACGUUUGCCGAGUUAAUUACUCUUAUUUGAUAAUCUCGAGUAUUUAGAGAGAGUGAACAUUUAAUGAAAAUAAUAUAUAUAUAUAUAUAUAUAUAUAUAUAUAUAUAUAUAUAUAUAUAUAUAUAUAUAUAGCAUCAAAUGGAAAUAAAUAUGCAAAAAUUAUAAUGGUAGAUAAAAUUAUCUCAUAUCAUACAUUAUAUGUCUAACAAAUUCAUCUUCAUCUUACACACAUAUAUGAUUCGAUACAUACAUUUUAAAUCGAAAUAUUUGGAAUUAUGUAUUUUUGAUUGCUUUUGUUUGUCCAAAUCUUCCAGGUGUAAGACAGCUGAGUAUAAAGCUUACUAGAAAGAAGAAAAAUAUAGAUAAAUGUA